AGGCAGUCUAUUGCUGGGUUUAGCUAGGCAGUCUAUUGCUGGGUUUAGCUAGGCAGUCUAUUGCUGGGUUUAGCUAGGCAGUCUAUUGCUGGGUUUAUCUAGGCAGUCUAUUGCUGGGAUUAUCUAGGCAGUCUAUUGCUGGGUUUAGCUAGGCAGUCUAUUGCUGGGAUUAUCUAGGCAGUCUGUUGCUGGGUUUAGCUAGGCAGUCUGUUGCUGGGUUUAGCUAGGCAGUCUAUUGCUGGGUUUAGCUAGGCAGUCUAUUGCUGGGUUUAUCUAGGCAGUCUAUUGCUGGGUUUAUCUAGGCAGUCUAUUGCUGGGAUUAUCUAGGCAGUCUAUUGCUGGGUUUAGCUAGGCAGUCUAUUGCUGGGUUUAUCUAGGCAGUCUAUUGCUGUGUUUAGCUAGGCAGUCUAUUGCUGG